rnacentral:misc_RNA from 1 species
AAACUCAAAUUAAACACUAUGCAACACCAUGUUAGGUAAUAUUUAAACAUCACAAGGUGGAAAGGAUGAAAGCCAGAAAAUAAAUAGUUAAUGCAUAACAUACAAAGAGAAAAUAACAAUAAAAGAGGUAGAAAUAGGUAGAAAUGAAGGUUAAGAAAUGUCUGCCAUAAUAAAUUCCAAAUCCUUAUACAACUAAACUGUCUCUCAAAAUUAUACCUCAAUUCAAGAGACACAGUUGGACCAUCCAAUGGCCUCCCCUUUCCCAACAAAGAAAAGAAAAGGAAAAAAAAAAAAA